rnacentral:rRNA from 1 species
UACAACGAGAAGCGAACCUGCGAAGGCAAGCGGAUCUCUUAAAGCCGUUCUCAGUUCGGACUGUAGGCUGCAACUCGCCUACACGAAGCUGGAAUCGCUAGUAAUCGCGGAUCAGCACGCCGCGGUGAAUACGUUCCCGGGCCUUGUACACACCGCCCGUCACACCAUGGGAGUCGGUAACACCCGAAGCCUGUAGUCUAACCGCAAGGGGGACGCAGUCGAAGGUGGGAUUGAUGACUGGGGUGAAGUCGUAACAAGGUAUC